rfam:Myotis lucifugus cont2.41300, whole genome shotgun sequence.
GAUGGUUCUCAGGUGACGCACCCCAGAACCAGAGAGGAGGGAGCCCGAUUCUGGGGUGCAUCACCUGAGAACCAUG